CACCAUCAAGAAUCACAAUGAAAUACACUCCAAGAUGAAAUCCUGAAUGCAAUAUCAUAACCAUACUGAAAUUGAGUUAAUUUGCUAUAAUCCAGGAAAGAGAGACUCAUUUCAUACUUUGACAUCAUUGAGUUAGAAAUUACUACAAUUUAAUAAUCAUAGUGCACGGUCAUCUGUUAUAAUUCGGAAAAAAGAAGCUAAUCUCUACAUAGAAAUCAUUGUUAAUUUAACAACUAAGAAUGAAAUGAGCUGCCUGGGAACUCCACAUUUCAAUGGAGCAUAUGCAGUAGAAAUGACAACUGAAGGUAUCUAACAUUGAGAGACAACUGUUUCUAUCAAUAGCCCAACAAAAAAAAUUCUGCAGAAUUUGAGCACCACGUCAAAGUGAAGAAAAUUUUAGGAUAACUCUGAUUUUUCUUUAGGCACACUCUAGUGACCGCUAUUAUGUCUUCCAUAUAGACUUUGUGAACAAUAAAAUUUGCUCAUUUACUACUUUACAAAAAAAUAGAACCAUCCCUGGAGUACUUUGUGGCUCCUGCUCCACCCACCCCUGCCAACACUGCAGCCCUCCCCUCAAAGUGAUCCUCCCCAACAUCCAGUUUCAACCGCCCCUUACUCUCUCCUUUUUGCAUAUGGAAUUUCUUCAUUGUUAUCUGGUAUAACCAUUAGCCUAUUUCUCAGAGGGCUUCUAAAAUGUACAGAAGAGAAUUAGUCCACCAUAAUAUACGUCCCUUCAUUGCUUUUCUACUUGAGAACCAUCAGGCAAAAUGUUCAAAUCAAUUAUCUUGCACAUCAUAGCUUCAAAUCUGGAAAUAUCAUAUGCAUUAUUUCUCUUCUUCGCUCUUUAACCUAUUUAGGUCAUUUGAGAUCUAGGAUUAGCUCUGUUUCAUCUUGAAGGGGGAGAUGAAGUUCGACAUUAGCGCAGCCAGGAAUUUCACUAAGAGGAUUCAAAAUAUAGAAGAAGUAAACACACGAAGAAACAAGGAGGAUUGAAUAUCUACUAUAUAGAUAAAAAUAAUUUUGACCUUGCAUAUUUGGUGUAAUUUUCCAACAAAAGGGGUUCGGAUAAAUCCCCUUUGCACCUCUGGCUCCAACCAUGAUGGUCUACCCUGUUGGAACUUUGGGAGGCACGCACUCUCAAUCAAUCAAGUUAUACAAGUGCAAAAACAUAUUCUAUUGCUUCACUCGACAAAAGCUAAAUAAAAUGACAAUAAUAAAUAGGUAUUUAUAAGCGUUAUUCAGCGCGUACCUCAUCUAAAACAUGUACCACAAUUCAUUCUAUACUCCCAUUUUCACAAAUAUAGGCAUUACGAAUUCAUUUAAUACACAAUUCUAAGUACUUAAUUUAAACACUCAAAGCCAAUAGGUCUUCCCAUCUUUCAACGCAACAUCCAAUUUUCAAUACUCCUCCUUGAACCUUGAUGCAAGAUCAAGAAUGCUAAAUAUUCAUGAACUUCAAGAAGUGAAGAAUCCAUCCAAGAUUAGGAUUUCUUUUCCUUAAAGAUUAGUGAUUAGUUUUUCUAAGCUAUUGCUUCAAAAACGUGAUUUAUUUUAUAUUUCAUUGUUCUUCCUUUAUUCAACUCUUCUUGCAAUCUUGCGGGAUUGGGGAACGUGUGGGUGAGGUUUAUUUCCAUCUUACAUUCUUCAUUGUUCUUCCUUUAUUCAACUCUUCUUGCAAUCUUGCGGGAUUGGGGAACAUGUGGGUGAGGUUUCUUUCCAUCUUGGAUUCUUCUAACGUGAGUUUGAAGAACGUUUUCGCUAGUUUUGUGAAAAACUUUAGCAGGGUGAUUUUGUUUUUCUCUCUUCUUUGUACUUAAGAGGUGCAAAACCUUGAAAGUACAUCAAUUUGGUAUCAGAGCUCAAGUUCCAGGUCCGAAUUCUUGAUUUGCUACAUUGUUCAUCGUGUCAUCAAACAAGAAAAUACCAAGUUCAGAAUCUUAUUCAAUGGAUCUUCAAUUAGAAGUUUAUAAAUUAAGAAUUAGAAUCCUUGAACGAGACAACGAAGAAACUAAAGUGCAGCUAAAUGACUUGAAGGAAUCAAUGGAGAAUCUGACUAAAUUAGUUGAAGGUUUGGUGUUUCAAUAUCAACUACCAACUCUGUCACAACGCCUACAACCACUACAUCCACCACUUCUAUAUCCAUCAAUUCAUUCACAAACAACUGAAGAGGUUGAAGCUGACCAAGGCACAAGAGAACCAAGGCACCAUGCCCAUUAUGAUAAACAUUCAGAUAGUCAGGGGCGUGAAGAUGGCAAAGUUGAUAAUGACGAAUAUCAAAGAGACGAGGAAUAUGCAUUAGAUCCAAAACUUGAGGAAUUACCACCAUAGUUUUAAAAUAAUCCGAACCCAACUACGUGUGUUAUUGGCUUUCCGCCUUUUAGAGAUGCUCCACAAAAUAUUGACUUGAUUGUUGACUCUAUCAACCCAAACAAGGCAACAUAUUGCGUUAAUUCUAAAGUCCAUAGAAAUAUACUAGAACAAGAGGAAAAAUUACCUAUAAAGGAGUGGGUAAUGGAGAGUUUGAGUCCAGAUAUUGGAAAGACAAGAUCUCUUAAUGUCAUAAGUAUAUAUAGUUAUCAUCAAAGUGUCUGUUGGUGCAUGAAUAUUGGAAAGACAAGAUGUCUUACCGUCAUAAGUAUAUAUAGUUAUCAUCAAAGUGUUUGUUGGUGUAUGAGCAAUGCAAUUGAUGCAUUCCCAAGAAGAGCGUUGAUCUCCAUGCUUAACUCAAAGCUAGACAUAGAGUUAGUUAAGUCUAUAUCAAUUACUUCGUAACGUAAGUUGAAAUUUGAGAGUCCAUAUAGAAAGAUUACAUGGAAAGGACUUGGUAGAAAGUUGAAACAUAGAAAGUGAGAUUUAGUUCGACCACAUGCCAAAUUUGCUUAUAACGUGAAGAAGAUCUAUGAUAAGCUACUAAAAUGUAACUUAAAAUCUGGUGAGCAUUGGGUCCCCAUGUUUUUUCCCUUGAGUCUCCGUUCUUACUAUAGAAAAUCUUGCGCCAUCUAUGGAAGUUGUUAGACUCGAGGACGAGUCUUUUUCAACCAGGGGAGAAUGAUGCAAGAUCAAGAAUGCUAAGAAUCAAAAAAUCAAGAAGUGAAGAAUACAUUCAAGAUUAGGAUUUCUUUUCCUUAAAGAUGAAGAUUUGUUAUUUCUUAUUUCCUAGUAAUUUAAUUCUUAUUUUAGUAGGAUUAUAUGUGUAGUUCUAGUCAAACUAGGAUUGUUAGUUGGUAUCUCAUUCCUACUGGAAUACUUUUUCCUAUUUUAGAUAGGAUAGGUUUUCUUAGCCUUAUUCUGCUCUUAUUGCAAUCUUGAGGGAUUGGGGAACGUGUGGGUGAGGUUUCUUUCCAUCUCACAUUCUUCUAACGUGAGUUUGAAGAACGCUUUCGCUAGUUUUGUAAUAAAACUUUACAACAACAACCAAGUAUAUUCCCACUUAGUGGGGUUUGGGAGGGUAGUGUGUACACAGACCUUACCCCUAUCUUGAGGUAGAGAGGUUGUUUCCAAAUAGACCCCCGGCAUCCUUCCCUCCAAGAACUUUCUGCCUUGCUCUUGGGGAGACUCGAACUCACAACCUCUCGGUUGGAAGUGAGGGUUGCUUACCAUUAUAGCAACCCCUUUUGUCUCUUUUGUGAAAAACUUUAGCAGGGUGAUUUUGUUUUUCUCUCUUCUUGGUACUUGAGAGGUGCAAAACCUUGAAAGUACAUCAAACCUUGUAGCUAACAUUCUUCAAUGUCCCAAAGUUUCUCUUCUGCAACUCUUCUUUUUGGCAGUUCUCGUCUUCUUCUAUAGAGGACUCCUCCUCUUCCUCAGCACAUCUUUCCUUAGAACUAACCUAAUUUGGACCGAGUUUCUCUUUCUUUAAUACUUGUUGUCACUAGAACUUUCCUCCUCACUAAUUCAUUCCUUUUUUCGAGCUUUUGCGACAACUAGGCCGAACUAUCAUCUUGAUAUACAUGCAAACUUUUGGUGAGCAGCAGGAGAUGGUCUUUUAGAAUGGUCCACUUUAUUGGGAGCCUCAUCAGAUUCUUCGUCAAGGAUUUUAUUGCAACACUCAACCUUGUAUAUAGCAGUCUUUCCUUUUCUGCUUAAGAAUCACUUUCUUCAGAGCUAUCACUUGUCCUCUUUCAUACUGGAGUCAUCACUUGACUCAUACUACUUUUCUUGGCUACAGUAAAUCUACAUACACAAUGAUGGAUAAUGUUUUUUUUAAGAUCUUCAAGAAGUUCUAAUUCUUACAGAUCCCUCAAGAAAAUUCUUUAGAUGCCAAAUGUUGGGAAUUCGGAAAAUUCAUUCUCAACCAACCAAAUAUCUUGAAAACAAGUGACACAAACACAAACAUAUUCGUUCCGCUUCCAAACGCUGGAAAUUCCAAUACCAAAUGUUCGGUCUAAUGUUUGCUAGGAUUUGAUUUCUUGUAAGAGAUUAUAUGCAAACUGAGAAUGUAUCAAAGAUUCUAGUGCUGAAGAACCUAUAUUCUUAAAUAUUUGAUUGAGACAAGUUAAUGGCGCGACAUUGAGAAUUCACAUAGCCCACCCUCAACUAACUUGGGACUGAGACAUAGUUAUUGUUGUUGUUGCUUUAAUGGAUGACCAGUUCAGUACAUUUAGCCGUGUUAACAACAACAACCCAGAAUAAUUCCACUAUUGGGGUUUGGGGAGGGUAGUGUGUACGCAGACCUUACCCCUACCCCGAAGGAGUAGAGAAGCUGUUUCCGAAAGACCCUCAACUCAAGAAAACAAAAAGACAAAAGGAGACAAUAUUAGUAUGACUACAAAAAUCAUAUGAAAAAUAUGAACAACAUGAAAUCUAGAAGAAAGAUGCAAAGCAAAAGCGAUAGCUAGUAAAUAGGUCCUGCACUGAAAAGCGAAAUAGUAAGAUACAACAUUGCUAAUAGCUAUCUUAAACAAAAACCCUACUAGAAUAGUCUCACAAUGGUACGAAGUAGGGCAAGACUCAACUACCUCAUAACCUACAACCCUACAUUUGGCCGUAUUGUUUUAGCUAAAGUCAUAUAGCCAAGUCUCCAAUCAUUUGAUUCAAAAAAGUUCCAGUACCAUGAUAAUUAUGUUGUGAAAGAGGUAUUCAGAUGAAAAAGUAAACAAAUCAGUAAA
rnacentral:lncRNA from 1 species